rnacentral:lncRNA from 1 species
GAAUCUGGACGGUUCUUCUUUCGAUCGCACAAUAAUCAACGGAGGAGGAUUUCGUUGGACGGUUCUCCGUUUGCUGUGUGUUCUCACGCACAUCCGAUGGUUUCUAGAACGUCAAGGCGAUUCGCGUGGGUUGUGUUGAACCGUCCAUGCGGAGCUUCUCUCUGCAGACGAAGGAUCGCCGUCCGUUUCUGCAAGUUGGGGGGUGCGGGGUACUUUACUCUUUUGCGUGUGGUUGCUAUUCAUGGGCUGUUAGCCCAACCCGUUUCCGAUCCAUGGACAGCCCAUCAUAAACUUCCAUUUGGGUUGUCUCAAAAUAUAACCGUCGUGACAUCUUAAAACCGCAUCCCAUUUCUCCUCGAGGGAAAGAAAGAUGGGAUCUCGAAGCCCUCAAUCCGAUCACGCCUCCUCUGCCGCCCUCGCCCGUCCAACUUCUUUCUCCUCUCCUUAUGACCGCUCAAGCCCUCCAAAUCCCCACACCUUCAACCCUCUUCGUCGUUUGUCUCCGACGAGAAGGGAGGUGCCAAGAAGAUCUCGGCUCCAAGCCCCUUUCAAACCUAAUGCCUUGCGAUCGAUUCCGCCGUCGAGAACUCACAUGAGAAGAAGAAGAAGAAGAAGGGUCUCCGCGAUUUGCUUUUGAUGAAGGCGAGCGCUCUGUCUGGGCACUGGUACAUCGACGGGUGGAUACCUUAUUGCACUGGACGCGCUGUUAUGUGAGUUGUCUUGUUUCUUUCCUCUUCUUGAUGAAUGGAGUAUGGCUAUUUGGUUAACGGCUGUCGUACAGACAAAUUAUCUGGGGACAGAGGGCAUGCAUCUUUCUCAAUGUUGAUCUUAAUUAAAGAAAAUGAUAUAUUUACUGAGCCUAAAUUCUACGAUAGAUUUUCUGCCAUAGCGAUUGUUAGUGCUGGGAAUGAACUCGUGGGAUGUAGAUAACCUUUAUAGAGAUUUGCUUAUGGAUUUGCAGACUAGCGUAUUUGGAUUUACAUAGAGUUGAGUAGUGAGAUGUACCCAGAGGUACAGUGUAACUAGAUUGAUCAGUUCAUACGGUGGAAUUUUUUAUACAAUCAAUUAUGUAUUUACUGUUCUUGUUAAAUCAAGAAAUGGGUUUCUUAUACAGACUAUAUUCUUUUUCUGUCCUAAUUCUAAGCUAAACUUAUAGUUAUAACUAAAUAUAUUGGAUAAAUUCUUGUUCUGUAAAGAAUUUACCUCUCCGCAAACUCUGGUACAAAGAAAUAAAGACUUCACUGAAAUUGAGUCCUUAUGGAUCAAUGACUUGCAUCAUACUAUACUAAAAGCCUUUCUUAGGUUCACGCAAUCACAUGAUGGGGAUUUCUUAUUCACUUAAUCACACUGUUAGAUCUUAAUUCUUUCUCAUAAUUCUGAUAGCUGGUACUUGAUUAUUAUAUUGCUGAUAGGGGCUUUCUUAUUCACCUUCUUACAAUGUUCAAGAAUGUUGGUUCUUAAUAGUUGUAGUAAACACAAUAUUGCUUACAAGUUUGUGCAUGUUUUGUGAAUAGUAAUGUAGACCAUGAAAGUUGGGGGGAGUUGACUGUACUGGUUACGCAUAUGUCCACCCAUUACUUGCAACCAUAGAUUGGACUCUGUUAUCCAGGUUCAAAUUGUUUUGAAUGGUGACCCUCUGAAUGAUCUGUCCUUUCACUGACUAUAUCGACAAAUUAUGAAGAUACCAAAACUAAAGGAAAAGCUGAAGGAAUUGGCAUGGUGGAUCUCAAGUUGCGGCUGCAAGAAAGGUUUGUUUGGUUUCUUAAAACUUAAGAGACAUCCCUUUAAAUGGGAUCAUGUAAUCUUCCAGCCUUAAUUGAAGAUGCUAAUUGUCAUACUCCACAAAUAACUGUUUUUAUCUUUAGGCUUUGUGGGUUUUGCGUAUACUCAUUAAAUUGCAUGGGUAUACAUCACUAUCAUAGUAGGGAACAAUUUAGUGUCUUUUCAGCUAUAUAUACUUUAUAUGUUCUGACAUCACACUAACUAUAUUUCCUGUAUUCCUUACAAUAACUGAUUAUCCUCUAGCUGUGUUCUUUCAGUUCAUCUACAAGCUGUUUUGGUACUUUCUGUGUUUUACUAUGCUAUAUUGGUUGAUAAUGUCUGUAACAACCAAGCUAGACGUAUGAUGUGAGAUUGUCUUUGCAAUUAAAACUGCACCUAGCCUCAUUGACUCGUGUAGAAACACAAUCAUCAUCUUUAGACUCUAUUAUGUGCUUUAAUAUGUGACCUUUUCUCACACCUUUGAAGGUACAGGACUUGUUUGGUUCUCAAAUUUGUUUGAAGACUGAAAACGGGUACAGCCAUUCGCCCUGCAAAAAUUGGCAUGACCUUGAGCUACAAGAUUCAAGGACCUAUCAAAAUAAUUAAAAUGGACAACAUGAACUAAAGGUUUGGUACGGUUCACUUCAUAUAUUGAAUUCUAGCAUUUGAAACCAACAUUUGUUAUUUUAUGUAGAUCGACUUUGGCCAUCUGUCUGAUUGGUAAUGUGAUCGUGGUGCCAGCAGAGGAUGAAGUUCCGCCUAAAUAGAAAAAAGGCUUCUGAAGAAGAUGAGGAUGCAGAUGAUCUUUUGUCGAAUGCAAGCGACCAGAGCGAGAGGAGAUUGAUAACAUGUCCGUGUCUGGGCAUCUUCCUAUCGAGGAAUUUGACUAUUAUGAUCUCGAUGGAAGUGCUGAUAAGGACUAUGGCACUUGCAAUUGGUAGUGAUAGAGAGAGAGAGAUCCUUCACCCAUGUGGACAUGGUAAUGAUGACGAGGGUGGUUUGGAUGCAUGAUAUGGUGUGGUGAUGAUUUUGAUGACGUAGUAGUGUUGCGAUGGUGGUGGCACCGACCAAUGAUGACAACGGUGAUGAUGAUCAAUCCAAUAUAAUUGGCAAGUGGAAGUUUGACACAUGUUCUCAAGCGUCACAAUCACCAUUUGCUAGUCCUGAAGACGAUGAACGCCUCAUGAUGAAUGACAUGAGGCCCAACGUGAUAAGUCCAGAUCACAUACAGAAUAAGAAAAAGAAUUACAAGUCUAGCCGAGCAUAUUUCUCAGAAAAUGUUCUCUAUAUCCCAUAUGUUUGCAACUUUUAUUACUUCUUGACGUGAUAACAUGUGCAUAGAAGGAAUGCUUUUGUUUAGAAAAAAAAAGAAAAAGGUAAAUGCAAAGAACAUACGACACACUGGCGUCCGGAGAUUCUUUACCGCCUGUGGCGUGAAUGAUCUCUACCCAAUCCUGAUUGAUCCUGCGAACUAAAAGGUAAAUGCAGCCGCGCCGUGUGCAUCAACAGUGGUUUGGCUGUUAUGUAGACCGGGUUAAUUGGUCGUGUUGGGUUGAGCUCUCUGAUUGUCAAAUUACGCCGGACUUCAGUCUCAAUCUCUGCUCGGUCUUGGGGGUCUGCAAGUCGGAUCUGGAUUUCGGUUUAGCGGACGUCCGCACCAUAUCGAUCGGACAGGGAAAAUGGAUGAUGUCGGAGAGAAAGGAACGGGAAAGCUCGCGAUCGACGCACAGGGACGAGGACGAGCCGGAUAUUAAAUCCCAAUUCCCCUUUCCUGUCGCCUUCAUCGGCGCCGCCUCCUGCACCACUGGCCCAACGAAACCCGCCGUCGACGCCCGCCACACUCCCACGCCGCCGUCCCGCCUCUCUGCUUCGAUACGAGACCAAAAUGAUCCGGUCCACCCUAUCAACAGCGGGUUUGGCACACCUUGGAAUGAGAGUAGCCUCGAAUCGUAAGUGCCCGUCUCCUCUGUGCCGCCGACUGCGGCAACGAGGACCGCACCAAUUCCCCUACACCCCGAACGUCUCCACCCUUUGCUUUCUCUCUUUCGGCGCCGCCAUUUCUCCUUUCCCCAUUUCCUCAACUCCACUGGAUCUUCGCUCUCUGCCCCGGUGGACCACCACAACGCUCUAUUACUGAUUGCGGCCCAGCCAACGUCCCCCAAUUCCCGUGGGUGGGCCUAACCGAGCUGGACAAAGAUAUGGGAUUUCGCUAUUUAAAGAAGACUGACGCGGCCCGAUCCAUGUCCUGUGGGUACGAGUACGGCUCGUGAGCUUACCGUCAAAUAGUCCGACGGCAAAACAACCCCAAAAAAUUGUUUUUGGGGUCUGAAACCCUUCGACAACGCUCCUUAUUCCUACCUGCGGUUACUGGAUGACGUAACGAAAAUUGACACGUGUUUAUUCGGCAAUGAAUCACCUCUACCCCAUGUCCGGUACAUCCGCCAGCUCCUCACUCCCGCCGACAGCGCUGCCCCCACACCCGUCGCCGAUCUCUUCCUCCCCCACCGUGCUAACUUACGAUCGACCACCCUCGUCUCCAUCCUCUUUUUCCCCCGCCACAUUAUAUUGCAUUGACUACUACGGGCUCCCGACCGCCCCGUGCUCUUUCACGACCACACUGGCCUUGUCUGGUGAUGCUGCCAUCUCCACCGCCGCCGCCAAAAUUGAGUCGAAGGACAGAGGGUAAGUAACUAAGAUGCGCCCAUGACCGUUUCGGUGGCCACUCUGUUCCGAUCUGAUACGAGUACCUCCCUGUGUGCUUACCGUAUAUCAGUUUGGCGUCAAACUAGCCCAAAAAAAUUUUUUUGGGCCUUCAAACGCUUCAUGAUGUCGUUGUUAACUUGACCUACGGUGACCGGAUCUGGACGAGCAUCUGAGAUUAUUUAUGAGAAUUCGCGAAUCUCAAAGCACCGCCGCCGUAGUCUUCCUGCGCGCCACCCCAGUAGAGUCGGCGGACAGAGGGUAACUACGAUGGGCCCGUGUGCUUGAGCCCGUGAACCAUGGAACUACGCUUCACCGGGUCGCACUAUUCGAGUUGAUACAAGGACCGCCCCGUGUACUUACCGUCCGUCAGUUUAGCGUCAAAAUAGCCCCAAAAAAAAUUUUCGGGCCCUCAAACGCUUCAUGAUCUCGCUCUUAACAUAACCCACGGUGACCAGAUCUGGACGAGCAUCUGAGAUUAUUUGAGAUUUCACGAAUCUCAAAGCACCGGCCCAUCCCAUCCGUGGCGGCCGCGUGCUCCUGCAUGCCGCCGACACCCUCGCCGCCUUCUCUUCCUCAACCGGCGGCGUUACCUUCGAUCGCCUACUCGGGUCUGGCUUCAUUCCAUGAUCGUCGAAUUUGACGCCUACGUCGGUCUCGCUCGUAACUGUGUAGAUAAAUGCACCCAUCAUCCGCCGUAGUUGCCGACAAAGGGCAAGUCCUUCUCCUAAUAAGUGGCGGCGCUGAGCUUGAAUGAGUUUUGAGUGACGGCGGCGGCGCCUCAUCCGACAAUCAUGACCAGAUCAUGCUAACUUGUACAGUGAUCUAAUAUCAAUCACCACGCCCACCGACCGUCAUCACGAACAGGAAGGUCUUCUUCCCACGCACCAUUGAGUCAAAACCUAGCUGGGCCCAGUCAUCUACACCUUUAUUUUCAAAAGCCGGCCCACUCGACCCAUAUCACAGCGAGUACGAAUACCUUUCGUACGUUUACCGCCUAUCAUCCUGACGACAAAGAGAGCCACAAGUAUUUUCUUUUGUCCUCAAAACCCGAUCUCGAGUUCUAUAUUCGUAACCGGAAUCGAUUCAUGGAAUGAUUUCUUUUUCUCUUUAGUUUUUUUGGACUCUUCAAAAUGAUGCGUGACUAUGCACGAACCAUAAAACAUCGACUCGUACAUAAUGUAUUUUUCUUUUGAACUCCUCAUAAGAUCUCAAUCCGAGACAAAAAUGCCUGUUGAUAAUGCAUAAUACAUCUCUUCAGCAAUUUCGAAGGAAGUCCCCCCAUCCCCAUGUCAAUGCAUAAAUAGCAACCACCAUUGAUGUUGAUCAUUUGCAUUACAACUAGAAACAGCUGCAAGGUUGGCAGAUGGGGUGGAGCUGAGCAGAACAUUGAAAUCUCAUGUUUAGGUACCCGAUACAAUGACAGCCACUGUCCAAGUUCGUACAUAUGUAAAUCUUUGGUACAAAUUACAUGUUCGUUGUCAUUCGUUCAAGCAGUCCAUGUAUCCCAACAACAUGAUUAAAACAAGAAUUAAACAAUCCAAUUUCCUGCAGUACUCACCGUGUCGAGAGAAUCAAUUCAAAUCUAGAAAUUUUGCAACAAUACCAGUCCAUCAUAAGGGUGAACAACUUAAACCAACGAAUAUAAAUAAUCCACAUCGAUGCAACACUAGGCAAAUAACAGGUUUUAAUCUGGAUACUUACUACAGCAGGAUUCAAACUAACAAGGAAGCAUCUUCAACAGAGGUUCUUCAGCAGAGAGCAACUGUUCUAAUGACCAUACUUCUGGAACUCCCACUCACUGUUAUCUGCAGAAAAAUAUAGCUUUUUUGUAUCAGCGACAGCACAUGCUACAUGCAGCAGUAAAAUCUGAGGCCGUAUAACAAAAGAAUGGUUACCCAAAGGACAAACUUGACGAGUCUUGAGCCAGCGACUGAUACAAUGGAAAUGGAAGGCAUGAUUACAGACACCUGAAGAACAUCAAACACAGACAAUAAAAAAAAGAGCAGGACUUCAAUAUUUUGAGUAGAGGACAAGAUCAGAUACAUCAACUGGAGUCUUUUCAGGUGCCAAGGAUAAGCCUCAAAAGAAAUUAGGCACUCUUCUUUCUAACCAGGGUAAGGGUAUUCAAAAUUCAGGUUAGAAUGAGGAACAUAUACCAAUUCAAAUGCUCAGAGAAAAAAAAUAUAUUAAUGAAAGGAAAUAUUUAGAUAUAUUAGAUGAAAGAAAACAAUAGGUUAAAGGCACAAAAAGAAAUACAAGUUUGCUCCGUCACCACUGUGUUUGCAUCUUGGUACUAGUUAUCUAGCUUACAUCAAUCUGGUACCACAGCAAGUUUGAAAAUUUGGUAAAAGAAUAUUGCUUAAUAAGCGUAGAUAUUGCUUCGUUUACGGAAGCAAAUUCUGAUUCGUGUCUUCCUACCAUAAAAAUAAUAAAACCCCCCUCACCUUCACUCUGUUUAUUCAUACCAUUCUAUUGGUGCUUGAAUCAAUUUGGUGCCAAGCCAGCACCAUUAUGUUCUACCGUCAGGGUUGCUCCUUAGUAGAUCUAUACCAAAGGAUACAAGAAACAAAAGAGAGAAAAUCGCAAGCAACAGCAGGGAUACUACAAUUGGAAGGAACACUCUCUUCAACAGAAGCAGUAAAAUGAAAUUCAACAUACAGAUCAAAAGUCAGAAUGUCUAAAGUAGCUUUACAAGACAUUUGAGUAUUAAAGGGCAUAUGAAGAAAAUUAUAGAAAAUAGAAAGCAAAUGUGAAGAAAUCUGCAUCAAAUGAAAUUUUGGAAGGAACACUCUCUUCAACAGAAGCAGUAAAAUGAAAUUCAACAUACAGAUCAAAAGUCAGAAUGUCUAAAGUAGCUUUACAAGACAUUUGGGUAUUAAAGGGCAUAUGAAGAAAAUUAUAGAAAAUAGAAAGCAAAUGUGAAGAAAUCUGCAUCAAUUCAGAAAGAAAUUAAAAAUCCAAAAUAUAAAAACUGGAUGCCAAGCAAAGACAAUGACAUCCAUUGCAAGAGAUUAAAAGAAACUUCUACUUCUUCAUUUGCUAAUCCUCAUAAAAAGAAAGUUUAUUAUGGAUGUUAGGCCCAGUAUGAUUGCGCUCAAAUAACAUAUCAUUUAAACACUAAAAGAUGUAGAUGAUCAAAGAGCCAAAAGAACAUGAUAUUGGUUUUACAACAACUAAUGAAUUCACAAGUAACGAGCAAAAUCAAAGAGAAGAACAGCAUCUUUCCUCAGUUGCAAAAAUCACCACUGAACUACUGAUCCAGCAUCUAAAUACACCAGAAACUUCCUAAAUCCAUUUGUCAUUAAAGCUGAUGUAUCAAAAUGGCCACAUACACUGUUGAUUCUAUGCCCGAGAUUGAAGAAAUUGAAUUUCAAUAUAUGUUUCUGUGUUUUUUGCUUCAAAAGAUCAGAUAACAAAUUAAUACAUCCCAAUCCAAAUGAACUUAUCUUUUUCUUUUUGUUUAAUUAAUUCUAGAUUAGAUUUCAACUCCUCUUUUAUCAAUUAGACAUUGAGUUUGUAUCAAAAUAGACUAUCUUAUCAUUAAUUUGGGCCUUAUAUUCUAUUGAAAUCAAAAUAUGAUAAGAUAUUAUAUUUAGCAGGUCCAGAUGAUAUAAUAGGAUCCUUAUAUUGUACAACAUUAGUAGUAUUUGAGUUGUUAACCUAAAAUAAAUCAAAUUGUACCAUAUUGACAAUAACAAUGAAUUUUUUGGGUAAUUAGGCCUUGCAUUCUCCCUAUUCUUCUUCGUAUCAGGUGUUCCUUUCCAAAUUCUAGUAUUCUCGCAAUUCAUAAUAUCCUAACCCUCUUACACUUUCACUCAUUAAUACAUAUCAUAACUAAACCAAAUUGGUUAUUGGUUUGGUUAUAUUUUGCAUGAAUAUGUUGUUUUUGCUUGGUCAUGGUUGCUAUAUCAAAUAACAAUUGUGGGCUUACCCUACCAUGCCACUCUAUUUGCUUCCAAAGAGAUGGCCAUAGUUGUGAGGAAAACCAUGUAAGCAAGUGAAUAGAGAAGCAAGCAAUUAACCAUAAAAUUGCAGAACUGAUUGGUUGCAAAAAGAUGGCUUGAAAAUAUUGCAUCAUGUUUCAUAAAUUUAAUGCUAAAAAAUAAAUAUGGAAAAGAAACAGACGUGAGCAGGAAAAUGUGUCAAAGGGAACCUCCUCGACAAACAAAAAAUAAAACAACAUCUUCCAACUUCAUAUAAGUUAUGUCUACAAUCUCUUUAAUCUGUCCAAGAGACUAAACAACUAGCAAAAGUUUAGCCUAGGUUGACUCAACAUUUUACUCUUACUCUUGAGCAAGGUUCGUAAUUUCGUACCGUACCAGAGUAUCGAGUUCAGUUCGAUACAGUACGAGUAUACUGAGUGGUACGUCGGUAUAUAUAUAUAUAUAUACAUAUAUAUAUAUAUAAGAGUUAAAAAAUAAAAAAGGGGCGACGCCGUCGAGGUGACUUCGUGUCGUUUCUUCUCCCCGCGUGGAGAGAAGAAAACCUCGAAGCCUCGACGACGUCGCCAAGGUUUGUUCUCCACACGCCAAGGCUUCUUCUCCCCGCGCAAAUUAGAAGUCACCAACAACGCCGAGGUUUUUUCUCCCCGCGCAAAUUAGGAGAAGUCACCGACGACGCCAAGGCCUCGUCGCCUCGGACGAGGAGGGGACAUCUCAUCUGCGGAGUCUGGCGAGGGAGGGCGAUGACGGAUCGGGAUCGUCGAGGGAGAGCGACGCCGGAUCUCUAGGUUCUCCCAUUUCUUCUCCCUCGGCUAAAACCGUCCGGUAGCGGGCGACGAUGGUCGAUGGCAACGGUCGAAAUCGACCAUCACCGACCUAUUUCGGGUGGUAACAGGGCGAAAACAGUCCCAAUCAAUGGUACCGCUCGAUAACGAGCGAUCCGCCUACCUAUCUGCUAGUGGACCGGUACGUACCGUCCCGUACAGACGAUAUCAUUAGAAAUUAGAAACCCUGCUCUUGAGUACAUUAGAGUUCAUCAUGAGGUGAUCAUAACAAGGGUUGAGAUAGGCACAAGGAUAGAGAUCCACGGGGCACAAUAAAAUUGAAGUUCAGUGGAGGAGGAAAAUUACAGCCUAGUAAAGGAAAAAUGAGAUGCCCAUGAAAGACUUUUCAAGUUUGGUAAAAGUAUCAUGUUUCUGCCCCAAAAAAUAAUGACAUAAAAACCUAAAUAAAACCAAUAAAAGAAUUGGGUUCACCAAACAAAAAUAUGAAAUCAACUUAAGUGAAACUACAGAGUCAGUAUGUGGCGUGAAUGGAUAUGUAAAAUCUUACAUAUGUUUAUGCAGCCUCACAUGACCAUCUCACAUAUGUUUAUGCAGCCUCAGUAUGUGGCGUGAAUGGAUAUGUAAAAUCUUGCGCACUGAAAUAAGCAUGAAAACACAUUUGUAUAUGUUCACAUUACCCGGUCUUUACUACUGCUUCAUAUAUUCUAUUAUUUGGUUUCAUGACAUAUGAUCUGUGAUAAUAUGAGAUUCAUCACUUUAGGAUUUUUACUCAUUUCAUAUGACUUCGACCUUGAAUAGGUUCUUAGACUUUACGGAUGCUGAUUUUUAUAUUUUAAUUGAACCUCAUAAGCAGCCAGGUAAGACAUGUUUGAUACGCAAUACCUGAGGUUCCUCAUACCAUAACAACUAAUUAGAGCAUUAAUUUAAACACAAUCACAAGACUAGCCUGCCUCAAUCAAUCUUCAGCAUAGAGUAUCAACAGAAGCAAAAUGCUUUACUUCCAGAGUAAGUCUUCCCUUUUCACACGAUGAAUGAAUCCCAUGAAUCAACGAUAGCUUACCCUUAGAGAGCACCAGUCAGAUUUGUAACUUGACAAUUAAUCUCUUACAUGAUACUAACAUUUAUAAUAACUCAAAGAUCAUUGCUUAUGAAUUAGCAACACGACAGACAGAUCAAAGAAUAAAAAAAACCUUGCAGAAGUUGCCAACUUCGGCACCUAUGAGUGUGCCAAAAUAAGUUGAAAUUAACAUGCUGUAAAAGCAGCCUGAAAUUGUGCUGGUCAGUUUGUAGGAUGAACUAUGCAAAAACUAGUACAUGCAACCAAAACAGUGAAUAAUCAUUUCGACAACAGAACAGAAAAUUACAAGAUCAAACGUACGGGAAAGAUGUCUGUAACUUGUUGGUUACCAACUUUUCAUAAAAGGGAAACUAUAUCAUACGAUCAUCCAAAGAGAAACCAAAGAUAGUGCAUACCCCAAGCCACCGUGCACUCUUCACUGGUGGCACUCGCCUGAUUAGCCUGGCACUCGAUGCCUGCAAAGGAUUCAAGAAAAUGACCGUCAAAACCCGGAGCAAAUAACAAGUUCAAGAACCCUAACCCUAAAUACAAACAAGAAUCAGCACACAAGACAAGGAAAAUCAAGAAA